AUGAAAAAGACUGUAUGAUUACUGCAAAUGAAAUGGCAAUUAAAGCUGGAUUAAUAUUUGAUCCGUCAACUAAAAAAAUGAUAGGGAAAUGCACAUUUCCUACUCAUGUCGGACCAGCUAAGAAAGUCCUUGUCAUUAUGUGUGGAGGAAUUACUAAAAGAAAGGAAAGUUGUUGUGGCUUAUUUUUUUACUGGAAAAGAAGACUCAAAAAUAAUUAAUAAAAAUGUUAAUAAUAGUGGCAUUGCUUUCAAGGAUGUGAUAUUGAAAAUCAUUGAUAAAUGUGAAAAAAUAGGAUUGAAAGUUCAUUCAAUUACAACUGAUAUGGGAUCUGAAAAUAGAGCCAUGUGGAAUGCAUUUGGUGUUGGUUGCACACGUGAAUCUGAUGCUAAAGUCAGUACACAGCACCCCGUUAGGCCAGAGGACAAAUUUUACUUUAUACCAGAUCCAGUGCACUUAUACAAAAAUAUUCUAACUAUGCUUGAAAGCAAUCAAAUUAUUCAUCUUCCUUAUAAUUUUCUUAUCUCUGAGAAACUAACGCAUCCAAUAGUCAAUAUUCAACAUAUAGAUGAUGUGCUACAAUUUGAAUUGCAAUUUGAAAUGAAGAUAGCUUACAGAUUGAAAAAGACUAAACUUCAUUGCAAGAACUCCUAUGAAAAAAUGAAAGUUGGAACGGCCUGAUCAGUCUUCAAUCGACGAACUGAGAUUGCUUUGAGAAAGUAUGCUGAACGUACUGGUAAUGAUGCCUAUAGGACCACUGCUUCUUUUGUUAAAUUAGUGAGCCAUUGGUUUGAUCUAAUGUCAAACAGAUCUACAAAGCUAGCUCUUGGUCUGUUGAACAACAAACAAUAUGAAGAAGCAAUUGAGCACAUAAAGAAAACUGCUUAUGUGUUUCGUUUUAUGACAGUAGGCAUUGACAAACACUGGAAACCUUGUCAAACAGGCGUUGUUAUGGCAUGCGUAAGUAUCAUUGAUUUGCAAGAUUAUUUUUUGUGCAAGCGUUCCUACAAGUUUAUUUUAACUAGUCGAUUUUGCCAAUGUUGUCUUGAAAAUCUGUUUUCUGCUCUGAGAGUGAAACAACCUAUUCCAAAUCCUCUCCAAGUUAAACAAAAUCUGAGAGUUUUGGUGUUGAGUCAAGUUUGCACGAACGCUAAAAAUACCAGCUAUGACAAUGACAUUGAUCAUGAAGCUAUUAAAAUGGAUUUUAUUAAAUUUUCUAGAGAUUUGUCUAUAGCACGACGUGAAGAAAAUGUCAUUGAAGAAUUAAUGGAAUCAUCUGCUUUAAUAUUGCCUCAAUUAAAAGAUCAUCACAUAAAUAUAUCAGAUACUUGGGAGUUGCAGAUUAUAUGAUAUGGCAGGAUUAGUUCUUCAUAGCAUAAGAAUAGGCAGCACGACAAUUUGUAAGCAUUGUGUGAUGAAAACUUUUGCCGUAAAUUUGCUUGAAACUUUUAGAAAACAAAG